rnacentral:rRNA from 1 species
AUACGGAGGAUGCGAGCGUUAUCCGGAUUUAUUGGGUUUAAAGGGUGCGUAGGCGGUUUAUCAAGUCAGCGGUGAAACGCAAGGGCUUAACCCUUGACCUGCCGUUGAAACUGGUGGACUGGAAUGCGGAUGCUGUGGGAGGAAUGGGUGGUGUAGCGGUGAAAUGCAUAGAUAUCACACAGAACACCGAUUGCGAAGGCAUCUCACGAACGGAUGAUUGACGCUGAGGCACGAAAGCGUGGGGAUCAAACAGGAUUAGAUACCCUGGUAGUCCACGCAGUAAACGAUGAUAACUAACCGCUGGGCAUUCGUGUUCAGUGGCCAAGCGAAAGCGAUAAGUUAUCCACCUGGGGAGUACGACCGCAAGGUUGAAACUCAAAUGAAUUGGCGGGG